AGAUUCCCUAAAAAAAACUCGGCUGUUGUCGAUAGCGAGCACUAGCAAACACCAAAUCGGAGCCACGUCGCCUCGUCCCUGAAUCGAGGAACCACGGCUUGGUUCCGAUCCCCGUCGGCCAUGGCGGCCUCGGCGUGCAGAUCCGGCAUCAGGAGUAAGGGUGCAGCUUCGGGCGGCGGCGCCUAGAGGAGGCCGUCGGCGUCAGCGCGACGGCGUCCGAGACUCGACUGACAAGACAUCCUCUUACCGUGAGGUUUCCCCUGUCGCCCUCUCCAAUCUGAACCCGUAGUAACAAUUUUCGUUUGCGGUCACUGCUACGGUCCAAGUCGUUGCUGUCUUCAUCCACGAGUCUCGAUCCAGACUUGUACAGUAUAUUUCCUGGAGGAAGUUUCUGCUAUAAGCUUGGAGGCCCCGGUCAGUGCUACGGUCCAAGUCGUUGCUGUCUUCGUCCAUGAGUUUCAGUCCAAAUUCUAGACAAUAUAUGUCUUCCAGCGGCGACGGCGUGCCUUGUGCAGUUCGUGGACGGCAUGCCUUGAAGAAAGGAAGAAGGCAAGGAAAAAAGAUGUGGCUGAAAGCAAUCGAGCGGGAAGAUAAGGCAGGAUGCGAAGCGGUGUGCUGACUCAUUUGGACACGCGUCUCCCGUGCGAGGCGGCGGAUGAGGAAGAGAAUAUCCGUCGGUUGAUGCUGAGAGUUUUCCUUUCUUAAUCCUAUGCUAAACAAUGGGUACCACAUGACCCUCCAACCAUGCUGCACGCGUAAAGGAAAACUGUUACAGCGGAUUCA